UCUGUGGCCUCCCAAAGUGCUGGGAUUACAGGCGUGUUCCACUAUGCCCAGCUAAUUUUUGUAUUUUUAGUAGAGACAGCAUUUCACCAUGUUGGUCAGGCUGGUCUUGAACACCUGACCUGGUGAUCCAUCCUCCUCGCCUCCUAAAGUGCUGGGAUUACAGGCGUGAGCCACCAUGCCCGGCCUCUUUUCUCUUUUGAAUGUGGUAGGCACUGCUCUGUGUCUUCCGACUUCCAGUCUCCCAAAUUGCUGGUGAGAAACCAGUUUAAUUAUUGACUCUUGGGUAUGACUACUUCCUGUCUUCUGAGCACAGAAACACAUAGGAUUUUCACUUUGUUUCCAGUUUUUGUAGGCUGAAUUGUGUCCCCUGCCCCACUUUCCACCAAAAUUCACUCAGUGAAGCCCUAACCCCCAGUAGUUUAGAAUAUGACUGUAUUUAGACGUGGGGCCUUUAAAGAGGUAAUUAAGGUAAAAUGAGGUCUAAUGGGCAAUUCUUAACCUAAUAUGACUGGUGUCCCUUUAAGAAGAGGAGACGAGGACACAGACAACACUGACCAAGGGAAGACAGUAUGAGGACACAACUAGAAGGCAGCCAUCUGUGAGCUAAGGAGAGAAGCAUCAGGAAAAAACGAAACUGCUGUCACCUCGAUCUUAGACUUCUAGCAUCCAGAACCAUGAGAAAACAAAUUUCUGCUGUUCAAGCCACCCAGUCUGUGGUGUUUUGUUACUGCAGCUCUAGCAAACUAAUAUAUCGGUAUUUUAAAAUCGCACAAAUAAUGUGCCUUGGGAUGGGUCUAACUCCAUUCUUUUUUUUUUUUUUUUCACUCAAGUAGUCUCUUACAAUCUGAGAAUUCAUGUCCUUGGAUUUUCUUGAAUUAUUUUAUUGAUUAUUUCCUUUCUUCUCUUAUCUCUGUUGCUCUUUGUGGAUCUCCUCUUAUUUAGAUGUUGGACUUCUUAUUUUAGUCCUUUAAUUUUUUUCUUUUUCUUUUCUAACUCUCAUUUUCUAUAUUUUUGCUUUGCUUACUGGGAGAUUGGCUCAAAUUUAUCAUCCAAACUUUCUCUGAAUUUUUUAUUCUACUAUUAUUUAUUGUUCAAAUUUCCCAGAGCUCCCUUUUUGUUUCUUGAAUGUCCCUUUCUGAAAUAGCAUAAGACUGGUUCGUGGGUGCAAUACAAUAUCUCCUCUUACACCUCUGUGGAUAUUUUUUAAAGUUGUGAAUCAAUUGAAACUUUUUACUUUUUACUUUUAUUGGUACAUAAUAGGUAUUUAUAUUUAUGGGGAACAUAAGAUUUUUUUUUUUUUUUUUGAGACGGAGUUUUGCUCUUGUUGCCCAGGCUGGAGUGCAAUGGUGUGGUCUCGGCUCACUGCAACCUCCGCCUCCCAGGUUCAAGUGAUUCUCCUGCCUCAGCCUCCCAAGUAGCUUGGAUUACAGGAAUGAGCCACCAUGCCCAGCUAACUUUGUAUUUUUAGUAGAGACGGGUUUCUCCAUGUUAGUCAGGCUGGUCUCAAACUCCCGACCUCAGGUGAUCUGCCCACCUCAGCCUCCCAAAGUGCUGGGAUUACAGGCAUGAGCCAUGUGCCCGGCAGGUAUUUUAAUGCAAGUAUACAAUGUGUGAUAACCAAAUCCAGGUAAAUGGUAUAUCCGUUGCCUCAAGCAUUUAUCCUUUUUUUGUGUAACUAACAUGCCAAUUAUACUCUUUUAGUUAUUUUAAAUGUACGGUAAAUUAUUGUUGACUGUAGUCACCCUGUUGUGCUAGCAACUAUUAGAUUUAUUCAUUCUAUCUAACUAUAUUUUUGUACUCAUUAACCACCCACCUCCCACCACAACUACCCUUCCAGCCUCUGGUAACCAUCAUCCUACUCUAUCUCCCUGAGUUCAACUGUUUUCAUUUUUGGGUCCCACAAAUGAGUGAGAACAUGUGAAAUUUGCUUUUUUGGGCCUGGCUUAUUUCACUUAACAUAAGGUCCUCCAGUUCCAACCAUGUUGUUGCAAAUGACAUUUCUCAUUCUUUUUUAUGGCUGAAUAGUACUCCAUUGUGUAUAUGUACCACAUUUUAAAAAAAUCUAUUCAUCUGUUGAUGGACACUUAAGUUGCUUCCAAAUCUUGGCUAUUAUGAAUAGCGCUACAGUAAACAUGAGAGUGCAGAUAUCUUUUCAAUAUACUGAUUUCCUUUCUUUGGGGUAUAUAUCUAGCAGUGGGAUUGUUGAAUUAUAUGAUGGUUCUAUUUUUAGUCUUUAGAGGAACCUCCAUACUGUUCUCCAUAGUGGCUGUACUACGCUCUGUGGAUAUUAAUAAUAGUUUUCUUCUCCCAGCAUAGUCUUGGUUAGUUCCAAAUUAUUUUCUUUGUUUGUUUGUUUGCUUUGGUCUCUACCUUUCAUGCUGGUAGUUCCCCUUAGAUGUCUGAUAAUCUUUGGUAGUCUAUUCAAAUUUAGGAGUGAGGUACUAAAAGACCUUAUUGGAAGUUCUGAUUCCAUGAAUGAAACUUCUUGUCCACCAGCUUCAACUGGGUCAUCUGGCUGGGCCAUUUAGUUGGGUCAUUCUCGACAUCAGCAUCUUUAUGUCUUUCCUCUGGAAGUGGUCAGAUACCCCAGAGAAUAAUUUUCUAAUCUCUAGUGGUCUGGAAUUAGAAUGGGGUAAAAGACAUGGGGUUCUGUUAGGUUAUAAAUGUUCCGAUAAAUUUUCACUACCCCUUCAUUUAUAUUACUGAACUCCAUCCCCAAAUGUGCCAAAUGUUCUCCAGGAAGUAAGUUUCUCUAUUUACCUUAUCUAGCCUCUGCCAGGCUGGGAGAGGGACCAUUAUCUGGCUAUACAGGUUUGAAGAGAGGAUGUAGGGAUCUAACAACUUCUUAUACAGACUUAUAACCCAAUCCUCCUAUUUUUGACCCUACCUUUAUCCCCAUUUUCAGUGGUAUCUGACAUUUGGAAGCUGUUUGGGAGGUCUAUGAUGUAGUCAGGUACUUCUGAGUUUUCUCCAAGACAAAUUUAGGGAUCAUCUUUCUCAGGUGUGUUACCUCUUGUCUAUAUGGCUUCUGAAUUCCACAACCUUGUUGUUCUUGUCUUCCUUUCUAAUUUCAUCAUCAUUGUGGGUUUCUGCCUUAAAAAAAUAAUCCCUUUACUGUCAUUUUAUUAGGUUUCAGAAGAAAGCCAAAGUAAGUGCAUUUCUGUAAUUGAUCACCUCUACUCAGUAGUCUAUUUUGCAUUUUUACAAGGAAAUGACAAGUUUACUCAGGAGUGUUUGAAGACAAACAGGCCUGCUUUAUAAUUUUGCUACUGGCCAUCCCUACCUUCAGUGCACUUGGUCAACAAUUACGUCCACAAAACAGAAAUUACAACUCUGACUCGUGCUUUUAUCUGAGGAACCACAAGUCAUUCACUUGUAUGGUUCACUUGUCAACUGUAAGGGAAACUCUAACUGCUAAUAACUUUAACUAUAUAGCCAAAAGGAUCUUGUAAAACUCUUCCUAUCUUCCUAGCUUUAGUCUUUGCAUAUAGUUCAAGGUUACUACUAACACUCCCCGACACCUGAUUUUCUUCUGAAAUACCAAAACCUCCCAUUUUUGAGUGUUCAGUGUGUGCUAGAGACUGGGAUAGGCGCAUUUACAUGGAUGAUCCCAUUUAAUCCUCCCCAAAACUUACAGUGUCUGGGCCAGGUGCGGUGGCUCACGCCUGUAAUCCCAGCACUUUGGGAGGCCAAGGCAGGCGGAUCAUCUGAGAUCAGGAGUUCGAG
rnacentral:lncRNA from 1 species